GUGGAGUCACCAGAGUUGAGAGAAACGUUGAGAUCUUUUGUGUCCAUCACCUCCGAGUGACGGGAGCUCUGCGGGCUCCCCUGUGCAUCUCCCAGUGCGCCUUCACAGGGUGCGCCGGGGCGGAGCCGGCUCCGGCCCGAGGUGCUGCGUGUCCGCACGGUGAUGGACUUUGCUGCUGAAGUUACGUAGUUGCUGCACCGGAGAUUUGCGACUGCAGGCCGAGGCAUUGCUCCAGCCCUGGGAGACCUCAGCCUGCAGCCUAUGGACUUUGGAUGGACCUUUCCCUCCCCGUGUUCCUCAGCAGUUCAGCAGCAUGUUCUGCAGCUGAGCGCAGCCUGUGCCUGCUGCGCAGUUUCCUUGUGCCGUUGCAAACCACACAAGAUCAGGUUCCUACCUGCUGAGACACCUGCGCAGCUGAUCCUGCGCCGUGUUCCCACAUCGUCCCCAUCUGGAGCUCAGACCCAGACCUGCUCGGAUGGCACAAGUGAAGACCACGGGACACAGCAGCAUCCCAGGAAAAGCCAGCCCCAGGUGUCAGCCCUGGGAGCCCAACAAGGGUUUGGGUCUUCCCCUGAGCUCAUCUGUAGCAGUGAGUGCUGUUACAGUAGAAAUAUUAUGAAUUACGCAUUAUUUGCACAAUAUAAACUGUCCUUAUGUCGUGCUGAAGUUCCUGGACCGGUGUGGGGAUUACUGGGUAAAACCAGGAGGAACCUGGGGAGUUUCUGAGACCUCGUGAAUCCAGUGUCAGCGCCGCCCCAGGGUGGAUGUCAGGUGCUGCUGUGGGAGGAAUGGGCGAGUUUUCAGCCACAUCAGCAGAUCUGUGUGAGACCUGUUCAUCACACACAUCCUGCUUAACCACUCUCCAUGAUUAAAUAUUUACAAGAAGAAUUUAUUCAUCAUUAAAACCCUAAAUAAAAGGAUUACAGAGAAAGUCAGAAUGGUUCAAUAAGAAGCAGCACUAAUUAUUUUCACCCUUGUGGGUUUUUCUGCAUUCAGUGCUUGAAUUUCAAAAUGAAAAUACUGAGAUAAACUCCUGCUUUCAUGUGAGCACAGUUGGGGGGAUUUCUUAUUUGGUGUGAAGCCUGAAAAGGGAGAAUUAACACUCAUUUAAUCAUUUAUGUUCAGUCAUAAUUUAGGCCCUGAGCAACAAAGUAUUUAAGCAGGAGAUAAAACUUUAGGUAGUCACGCAUUCCACUGACUCCAGACAGAUUAUUCAGGUGCCUGAACUGAAAAGUUACUUAUUCAGAGUGAGGGAAGAACAGAAUUGCCACAUGCUGGAAGCUGACUUGUGGAGCCCAGCUGGGGCAGAUGGACGCUGAGAGUUUUCAACCCAGGGUGCAAACACAGAGCUCAGUCCCUACCCAGCCACCAGCACUGGUUGUGUGACCUCAGAAAAGUCAGAAAAUUAAUGAGAAUAAUUUCUGAGCUGGGGGAAAAGUCGCAGGGAUGAAUACUGCCAGAAAGCUAAAGUCACUGCCAGUCAUGAGAUGCAGAAAUCCUGAGGAUGGUUUGAGCGCAGCUAAACUGUUUGCUGCACAGCUGGAAAGGAAACAAGCAGAAGAGCAGGAAGGAGAUUGUCAGAUCUCCAGCACUAUUGCAGUUAUUCUACCAUGUCUGCAGAGCUGAAGUAUUUUUUUUAACAUCCGUCACAUCCCUAGUAUAGGAUAUGUGUAGGGUAUUUAUUAGGUGACCCUUGUGCCAUUGUAAGACAAUGUCAUCCUCAAAUAGAAAUGUUUCAUCUCCUUUCAAAUCUUCUCUGUUUUGUGGGGGGGAGAAGGGUGGAUAUAAGGAAAGGUGAUAAGUCCCAUAAACACUGCUGCUUUUUC